UCGUGCGCUGGCCCAGGACGGUGGUGGCCGUGAUGUGGCCACCGGUCUCGCCGAAGACCCCGUUGUUCAACAUGAUGCAGGUGAC
rnacentral:tRNA from 1 species